UGGUGGAGUGAUUUGUCUGGUUAAUUCCGUUAACGAACGAGACCUCGACCUGCUAACUAGUACGACGAAUACCUUCGUGGUAUUCGGGCAAAUAAGCAAGAGACUUAGACUUCUUAGAGGGACUAUUGGUGAUUUAGCCAAUGGAAGUUCGAGGCAAUAACA
rnacentral:rRNA from 1 species